GCUGGUCUUAUCUUCCGGAUCCUACUCUAUCUCCAUGGUGAUGGUGAUGUCGAUGAGAUGAAGAAUGCAUGGACUUACUUUUGGAUUCUUUUGGCUUUUUAAUAGCUGCAAUUUGCUCCAACGUCUCUCCGACUUCUUUCAUUGAAGGCCGCUUCNACUUACUUUUGGAUUCUUUUGGCUUUUUAAUAGCUGCAAUUUGCUCCAACGUCUCUCCGACUUCUUUCAUUGAAGGCCGCUUCCUGGGUUCUGAUUCAAGGCAUCUUAAAGAGAGUUGAGCUGCCUGUAAUGCCGCCUUUGAAGAAUAUUGACCUUCCAUCCGUGCAUCCAUAAUGCUCAUUAGCUUCCUUUUCUGAUGGAGAAAGGGUUUAGCAUAAUCAAC
rnacentral:lncRNA from 1 species